rnacentral:siRNA from 1 species
AUACCACUUAAGAUCCGAUGUGGG